rnacentral:lncRNA from 9 species
GUUCUCUCUCCUUUGUCUUGGUACAGCUCAGUUUAUGGAGAGAGCGCAAGAAAACAGAAGAGAGGAAAGUCCGUUGUGCUUCUACAUUUAGGUUUUACUAAGGCUGCAUGGAGAUGGAGGCUUCGGGUCACCCCCUCUUGUCAUCCGAGUGCUCGCAAAACUCAGUGGCUGCCCUGGCCUCUGGGGCAAUUUCCAGGCCUACCUACUUUUAACCACUCAGAACUCAGGGAGCAAACAAUUUUGUUCUAA